AUCACUUCUUGGCCUUUUGGCUGAGAUCAAGUGUAGUAUCUGUUCUCAUCAGUUUCAGAUACCAAGAAGAUUCUGCUCCCACAGUCUCCAUGUUCAUUAAGUCCCCACCAUCCCCUUUUCCUCUUAAGGAGGAUGCUUGCACACAAGCAGGCCUUCCUUCUUCACUG
rnacentral:snRNA from 1 species